CCUACGGGUGGCAGCAGUGAGGAAUAUUGGUCAAUGGACGAGAGUCUGAACCAGCCAAGUAGCGUGAAGGAUGACUGCCCUAUGGGUUGUAAACUUCUUUUAUACGGGAAUAAAAUGAUCCACGUGUGGGAUUUUGUAUGUACCAUAUGAAUAAGGAUCGGCUAACUCCGUGCCAGCAGCCGCGGUAAUACGGAGGAUCCGAGCGUUAUCCGGAUUUAUUGGGUUUAAGGGGUGCGUAGGUGGAUUGUUAAGUCAGUUGUGAAAGUUUGCGGCUCAACCGUAAAAUUGCAGUUGAAACUGGCAGUCUUGAGUACAGUAGAGGUGGGCGGAAUUCGUGGUGUAGCGGUGAAAUGCUUAGAUAUCACGAAGAACUCCGAUUGCGAAGGCAGUUCACUGGACUGCAACUGACACUGAGGCUCGAAAGUGUGGGUAUCAAACAGGAUUAGAUACCCGGGUAGUC
rnacentral:rRNA from 1 species